AUUGAACGCUGGCGGCAGGCCUAACACAUGCAAGUCGAACGGUAACAGGAAGCAGCUUGCUGCUUCGCUGACGAGUGGCGGACGGGUGAGUAAUGUCUGGGAAACUGCCUGAUGGAGGGGGAUAACUACUGGAAACGGUAGCUAAUACCGCAUAAUGUCGCAAGACCAAAGAGGGGGACCUUCGGGCCUCUUGCCAUCGGAUGUGCCCAGAUGGGACUAGCUAGUAGGUGGGGUAACGGCUCACCUAGGCGUCGAUCCCUAGCUGGUCUGGGAGGAUGACCAGCCACACUGGAACUGAGACACGGUCCAGACUCCUACGGGAGGCAGCAGUGGGGAAUAUUGCACAAUGGGCGCAAGCCUGAUGCAGCCAUGCCGCGUGUAUGAAGAAGGCCUUCGGGUUGUAAAGUACUUUCAGCGGGGAGGAAGGCGAUAAGGUUAAUAACCUUGUCGAUUGACGUUAUCCGCAGAAGAAGCACCGGCUAACUCCGUGCCAGCCGCCGCAGUAA
rnacentral:rRNA from 1 species